rnacentral:rRNA from 1 species
GAUGAACGCUGGCGGCGUGCUUAACACAUGCAAGUCGAACGAGAAAUGGAGACGGAAACCUUCGGGCGGAAGGCUUCAUUUCGAGUGGCGGACGGGUGAGUAACGCGUGGGUAACCUGCCUCAUACAGGGGGAUAACAGUUGGAAACGACUGUUAAUACCGCAUAAGACCACAGCACCGCAUGGUGCGGGGGUAAAAACUCCGGUGGUAUGAGAUGGACCCGCGUUCGAUUAGCCAGUUGGAGGGGUAACGGCCCACCAAAGCGACGAUCGAUAGCCGAUCUGAGAGGGUGACCGGCCACAUUGGGACUGAGACACGGCCCAAACUGCUGCGGGAGGGGGCAGUGUGGAAUAUUGCACAAUGGGGGAAACCCUGGUGCAGCGACGCCGGGUGAGUGAAGAAGUACUGCGGUAUGUAAAGCGCUAUCAGCAGGGAAGAAAAUGACGGUACCUGAGUGAGAAGCCCCGGCUAAAUACGUG